GAUGAACGCUGGCGGCGUGCCUAAUACAUGCAAGUCGAGCGAACAGACGAGGAGCUUUCUCCUCUGACGUUAGCGGCGGACGGGUGAGUAACACGUGGAUAACCUACCUAUAAGACUGGGAUAACUUCGGGAAACCGGAGCUAAUACCGGAUAAUAUAUUGAACCGCAUGGUUCAAUAGUGAAAUACGGUUUUGCUGUCACUUAUAGAUUGAUCCGCGCCGCAUUAGGUAGUUGGUAAGGUAACGGCUUACCAAGGCAACGAUGCGUAGCCGACCUGAGAGGGUGAGCGGCCACACUGGAACUGAGAAACGGUCCAGACUCCUACGGGAGGCAGCAGUAGGGAAUCUUCCGCACUGGGCGAAAGCCUGACGGAGCAACGCCGCGUGAGUGAUGAAGGUCUUCGGAUCGUAAAACUCUGUUAUUAGGGAAGAACAAAUGUGUAAGUAACUAUGCACGUAUUGACGGUACCUAAUCAGAAAGCCACGGCUAACUACGUG
rnacentral:rRNA from 1 species